UAGGGAAUAUUCCGCAAUGGACGAAAGUCUGACGGAGCAACGCCGCGUGAGUGAAGAAGGAUUUCGGUUCGUAAAACUCUGUUGUUAGGGAAGAAAAAAUGUAUAGUAACUAUAUACAAAAGAGACGGUACCUAACCAGAAAGCCACGGCUAACUACGUGCCAGCAGCCGCGGUAAUACGUAGGUGGCAAGCGUUGUCCGGAAUUAUUGGGCGUAAAGCGCGCGCAGGUGGUUUAGAAAGUCUGAUGUGAAAGCCCACGGCUCAACCGGGGAGGGUCAUUGGAAACUAAUAAACUUGAGUGCAGGAGAGAAAAGUGGAAUUCCUAGUGUAGCGGUGAAAUGCGUAGAGAUUAGGAGGAACACCGGUGGCGAAAGCGGCUUUUUGGCCUGCAGCUGACACUGAGGCGCGAAAGCGUGGGGAGCAAACAGG
rnacentral:rRNA from 1 species